rnacentral:rRNA from 1 species
GGAAUAUUGCACAAUGGAGGAAACUCUGAUGCAGCGACGCCGCGUGAGUGAAGGAGUAUUUCGGUAUGUAAAGCUCUAUCGGCAGGGAAGAAGAUGCCGGUACCUGCAGAAGAAGCCCCGGCUAACUACGUGCCAGCAGCCGCGGUAAUACGUAGGGGGCAAGCGUUAUCCGGAUUUACUGGGUGUAAAGGGAGCGUAGACGGAAUGGCAAGUUGGAUGUGAAAGGCAUGGGCUCAACCCGUGGACUGCAUUCAAAACUGUCAGUCUGGAGUAUCGGAAGGGCAGGCGGAAUUCCUGGUGUAGCGGUGAAAUGCGUAGAGAUCAGGAGGAACACCGGUGGCGAAGGCGGCCUGCUGGACGGUAACUGACGUUGAGGCUCGAAGGCGUGGGGAGCAAACA